rnacentral:rRNA from 1 species
CACGUAGGGUGCAAGCGUUGUCCGGAAUCAUUGGGCGUAAAGAGCUCGUAGGCGGCUUAGUAAGUCGGGUGUGAAAACCCCAGGCUCAACCUGGGGACGCCACCCGAUACUGCUAUAGCUAGAGUCCAGUAGGGGAGUGUGGAAUUCCCAGUGUAGCGGUGAAAUGCGCAGAUAUUGGGAGGAACACCAGCGGCGAAGGCGGCACUCUGGGCUGGUACUGACGCUGAGGGGCGAAAGCGUGGGUAGCGAACAGG